ACUCAGGCACUCGAUCUGAUCGGACGCUUGAAUGAGAGGCGAGUAAAGGCUGGCCGUUUUCAAUGGCAUUUCAAUUUGGGACGAUUCCAGGAUCAUAUAUGGACCUGCGUGGUCGUCGAGGGGGCCUGUUCCGAACGAGCGGUGUCGUGCGUGAAGCUGCAAUUCAGAGAUUGCUCCAGGAUGGGCUUGGAACAAGUGGGCUCCGUUCCGUUCCAUGCAGAUCCAUCGCAGAUCAAGACGGAGCUUCCAAUUAAGUCAUGGCCUAAAUGUGAAAAAUAAGGGACGGUUAGUGGGGGUGAAUGGGUCAAAGCUUGUUUCCCUUACAAAUUCCAACCUACCAAUGUUACAAAAGAAGGUGGCCAUUGCUCUCCCGUGUUUAUAGAUUCGGUAUCCGUUAUCAGGAGACGGGACAUUGUCGCAGCCACGCUUCACACACACGGGAUUGCUUUUGGGAAACCACAUAUUAUCCAAGCAAAUGGCCACGGAGUAGUCGGACACCAGAGUGAACCGUCUCUUGCAUUUAUAACGAAUGGAACGCCCACCCUCGCGCACCUUGAUCCGUCCGUUUUUCAGGUUGGGGAGUGUGCAGUCCUGAGAAAAGCUCAUAACCUCUAAAACCUGCAGCAGCCCGUACACCAGAAGCACCAAUGUCCCUAAAUGAAAAGACAUUUUAUCACUUGACCCUAAACUUGAUCCCGUCACGAGCGCCUUAAGACCAGCUCUUUUCAAACGAUGACAUGAUGGCGGCACUAAAGGGGGUUUUCAAAUCAACUGCAUUAUUUUUUAUUCCUUUGUUGGGUGGUACGCGCUAUCACAGUUUGACUUGGCCAUCGUUGGCCUUUUCCUUCUGUUGGUUGCUCUUGAGCGAGCGAUAGGCCUGGAUGACGCGGACUCGCUCCUGGUUCAACAUAUGCUGGCGUGCCAAUGAGAUCUCGGGCUUAUCGCUCUUAAUCUUGCUCUUGAAUUUCUGGGCUAAUAACAAAGUGGAGUUUUUGUUCUUCUGGGCGGGGACGGGGGCAGGACUGGUGGAGGCUUCGUUCUCGGAGGUGGGCAUCUUUUUUUUCU